rnacentral:lncRNA from 1 species
GAGAGCUUCCGGCCAAAUUCUCUAAAUUCUGACAAGAUUCUAGCCAAAUUUCUACUUUUUAUUCAAGGAAACCUACUUUUCUACCCUAAUACUUAGGUCCUCGCUUUUUUUGCGCUUUGCGCCUAGGCCCCAGGCGAGACCUAUGCGCCUUGAGUGCGCCUAGCGCCUUUAAUAACUAUGGAGUUAAGCCAUCUUGCUUGUGAAGCCUUUGCAGUCGAUGUAACAAAUUCACCAAGAACACGAUAACUAGACGGGUCUGUGGGACACUUCCCAAGCCCGAUUAAACUGGCCCGUUUGGCCCCAAAACCCGAAACUCUAAUAACAAUAGACUGUCCGGCCAUUCCAAUGAAAGCUUCCUCUUCACAUACUUCGGACAACAAUCCACCCAGUUUAGAAUCAAGUUUUUUAAAGACAUCGAAAUGGACAGCGACGAUCUAAUUCCAGGAUACCUUAUACAUGAAAGUUAUGAAGACACACCGAAAGCUUUUGAUCAAUCAGAUCAUUCUGCAAAAGAAAUCA